CACUAUCACAGCCAUAGAAUGAUCCAGGCUUUCCUCUGCCUCAUCUUACCUUCUCUAGCUCUGGGGAUUCCAAUCUUGUUAUUAACAGGAUUUGACCCAGAUUUUUAGAACAUGAUGUUGGUGGUCAAUGCCAAGGCCAGGAUCCUCUUUGGAACAUUUAGCUUCAUUCUAUUAUACCAGCCUUAAACAUUCAGCUAGAACCUCCCUUAUAUUGGUCAAAAGCAGGACUAAGUGAGAGGCUGUGCAAACCCAGCCCUACUACUGGAGAAAAUAUUUCAAAAGUGGACUUUUCAGGAGUAAAUGGAUUGCUCAGUAGAUAGAGAACCAGGCCUGGAGACAGGAGGACCUGAGUUCCAAUGUUACCUCUACUUUUGCCUUGGAACUUAGUACAGAUUCUAAGACAGAAGUGAGGAGAGAUCAAUAAGGCUCCCAUGAAAGCCAGAGCCACAACACAGAGAUGGAGUGAGUCACAACACGUCAACUCCAAGCAAACUCCCAGGAUCAAACCUGCAGUCUGAGCCCCUGGGUCAGCUAAGGAGGGAGGAGAGAGACACGGAAAGAUCUGAGGAACAGAUGCUCUGCCAGCAGAUGAUUCCUGUGGGGCUUCCCUCUCUCCCUCCCACCUUCUUGACAGACUCAAGACAAAGAGUCCCGUGCUUUCCUGGGCUCAUUAAAUGUUUAUCUGGGACAUUCGGGGAAACAAAGAAAUGGAGAACGAAGGAGACUUUUCCAGAAUCGUCCAGUCGCUGGAUUAUAGCAAAAGGGACACUGGAUUUGGAGUCAGAGGCUUCCAGUCCUUAUUUUUUCUGUCAUUCUCCGAAUGACCUUGGCGAAGACACUUUGGAAACUUUAACCUCAGCUAGGGCUAGUAGAUGGGGUCUGUAG
rnacentral:lncRNA from 1 species